rnacentral:lncRNA from 1 species
GGUGAAUGACCAGAAACAGAACCGAAAGCUCUGUAAAGUGCUCUCAAGGUUACAAAGCAUGUUUCACAGGAGCAGUUUCAUCUCACACAGGCAGCCCUCUGAGCUGGGUAGUUACUGCUUUACAGAUGAGGAAGCCGAGGCCCAGGAGAGGGCGGGUCCUCAGCAAAUCAAGACAAAACUGAGACUAGGACCUAACAGAAGUCCAAGCUAUGAAUGGCCCCCGUAGGGUUAAAAGAGCUUUCUAGAAAUUUCUUUGAAAACUAUUGUAAAGUGACAUAUUUCCUCAGGAUGUCUGUCACGCCAGCAGUGGGAGCCAACACACCAACUCUCAGAGGCUGUUCCCCCUGCGCGGCAGAUCCAGACGCUCAGCUCCCAGGCCCGCUCAGCUCCCAGGCCCGCUCAGCUCCCAGGCCCGCUCAGCUCCCAGGCCCGGAGGCUGGCGGCUUAGCCCAGGGCACAGGAGGAGGCUGCCUGGGCUUGGUGCUGACUUACAGCAGGUGCUGAGGGAAUGCUGAGGAGAGGCAAGGCUGAUUCAAGAGGACAACAACAGAGAACAUUCCCAGAGCUCUCCCGCCAGCUGGGCAUGGUGCUAAGUGCAUUACCUGCGUUCACUCACAACAUCCUCACAACACUGAGUACAAUGACCAUCCCCAUGUACAGGCGUGGACACUAAGGCUCAGAGCAAUAAAUAACUAGCCUGAGAUCACA